rnacentral:rRNA from 1 species
CGGACCGGCGCGACGGGUGAGUAACGCGUAUGCAACUUACCUAUCAGGAGGGGAUAACCCGGCGAAAGUCGGACUAAUACCGCAUGAAGCAGGGGCCCCGCAUGGGGAUAUUUGCUAAAGAUUCAUCGCUGAUAGAUAGGCAUGCGUUCCAUUAGGCAGUUGGCGGGGUAACGGCCCACCAAACCGACGAUGGAUAGGGGUUCUGAGAGGAAGGUCCCCCACAUUGGUACUGAGACACGGACCAAACUCCUACGGAAGGCAGCAG